CGGCGAACGGGUGAGUAACACGUGGGUGAUCUGCCCUGCACUUCGGGAUAAGCCUGGGAAACUGGGUCUAAUACCGGAUAUGACCUCCUAUCGCAUGGUGGGUGGUGGAAAGAUUUAUCGGUGCAGGAUGGGCCCGCGGCCUAUCAGCUUGUUGGUGGGGUAAUGGCCUACCAAGGCGACGACGGGUAGCCGACCUGAGAGGGUGACCGGCCACACUGGGACUGAGACACGGCCCAGACUCCUACGGGAGGCAGCAGUGGGGAAUAUUGCACAAUGGGCGAAAGCCUGAUGCAGCGACGCCGCGUGAGGGAUGACGGCCUUCGGGUUGUAAACCUCUUUCAGCAGGGACGAAGCGCAAGUGACGGUACCUGCAGAAGAAGCACCGGCUAACUACGUGCCAGCAGCCGCGGUAAUACGUAGGGUGCAAGCGUUGUCCGGAAUUACUGGGCGUAAAGAGUUCGUAGGCGGUUUGUCGCGUCGUUUGUGAAAACCAGCAGCUCAACUGCUGGCUUGCAGGCGAUACGGGCAGACUUGAGUACUGCAGGGGAGACUGGAAUUCCUGGUGUAGCGGUGAAAUGCGCAGAUAUCAGGAGGAACACCGGUGGCGAAGGCGGGUCUCUGGGCAGUAACUGACGCUGAGGAACGAAAGCGUGGGUAGCGAACAGGAUUAGAUACCCUGGUAGUCCACGCCGUAAACGGUGGGCGCUAGGUGUGGGUUCCUUCCACGGAAUCCGUGCCGUAGCUA
rnacentral:rRNA from 1 species